rnacentral:rRNA from 1 species
GGGUGAUAGUCCCGUACACCAAAAUGCACAGGCUGUGAACUCGAAGAGUAGGGCGGGACACGUGGUAUCCUGUCUGAAUAUGGGGGGACCAUCCUCCAAGGCUAAAUACUCCUGACUGACCGAUAGUGAACCAGUACCGUGAGGGAAAGGCGAAAAGAACCCCGGCGAGGGGAGUGAAAAAGAACCUGAAACCGUGUACGUACAAGCA